GCGUUGGCUAGCUCAGGGGUUACUUCCAACCCUUCCAAGAUUAACCACUUCUGCAAUUUGCAGGAUCAAACCCCGGGCGCCAUCCAGCGUUUUC
ensembl:vault_RNA Vault Vault RNA